rnacentral:rRNA from 1 species
GUCGAGCGGAUGACGGGGGCUUGCUCCUUGAUUCAGCGGCGGACGGGUGAGUAAUGCCUAUUAAUCUGCCUGGUAGUGGGGGACAACGUUUCGAAAGGAACGCUAAUACCGCAUACGUCCUACGGGAGAAAGCAGGGGACCUUCGGGCCUUGCGCUAUCAGAUGAGCCUAGGUCGGAUUAGCUAGUUGGUGGGGUAAUGGCUCACCAAGGCGACGAUCCGUAACUGGUCUGAGAGGAUGAUCAGUCACACUGGAACUGAGACACGGUCCACACUCCUACCGGAGGCAGCAGUGGGGAAUAUUGGACAAUGGGCGAAAGCCUGAU